AGUCAGCCCACAUAACCCAUCUUGAGUCCACCCACAAGGAUGAAGUGUGUGUGUGUACUGAAUUUGGUUGUGUGCGUGUAUAGUGGCUGUAGAAUGUGUGUAGUGGAUGCAAAAUGCAUGAGUAAAGUGGAUACAGUGUUUAUAGUGGAUUCCGACUGAAUGUUUGUGUAGUGGAUAGAGAGUGUGUGUAGAGAGGAUGAAUCGUGU